rnacentral:rRNA from 1 species
CUCCCUCGUUGCUGACCCAGAUUCGAUAGUGCCAAUUAGACACUACCUCGCCAAGAACCAACUUCGAUGAAGCGACGGGCGGUGUGUGCAAGG